UACAGGGGGGGCAAGCGUUGUUCGGAAUUACUGGGCGUAAAGGGCUUGUAGGCGGCCAACUAAGUCACACGUGAAAUCCCCAGGCUUAACCUGGGAACUGCGUGUGAUACUGGAUGGCUUGAAUUCGGGAGAGGGAUGCAGAAUUCCAGGUGUAGCGGUGAAAUGCGUAGAUAUCUGGAGGAAUACCGGUGGCGAAGGCGGCAUCCUGGACCGACAUUGACGCUGAGGAGCGAAAGCUAGGGUAGCGAACGGG
rnacentral:rRNA from 1 species